rnacentral:rRNA from 1 species
AUUGAACGCUGGCGGCAUGCUUUACACAUGCAAGUCGAACGGCAGCGGGGAGGAGCUUGCUUCUCUGCCGGCGAGUGGCGAACGGGUGAGUAAUACAUCGGAACGUGUCGAGAAGAGGGGGAUAACCACCCGAAAGGGUGGCUAAUACCGCAUAAAUUCUGAGGAAGAAAGCUGGGGACCUAGGAAUAGGCCUAGCGCUUUUUGAGCGGCCGAUGUCGGAUUAGCUAGUUGGUGAGGUAAAGGCUCACCAAGGCGAAGAUCUGUAGCGGGUCUGAGAGGAUGAUCCGCCACACUGGGACUGAGACACGGCCCAGACUCCUACGGGAGGCAGCAGUGGGGAAUUUUGGACAAUGGGGGCAACCCUGAUCCAGCCAUGCCGCGUGUAUGAAGAAGGCCUUAGGGUUGUAAAGUACUUUUGUUAGGGAAGAAAAGUCAGCUAUGAAUAAUGGCUGAUACUGACGGUACCUAAAGAAUAAGCACCGGCUAACUACGUG